UACGUAGGGGGCAAGCGUUGUCCGGAUUUAUUGGGCGUAAAGAGCGUGUAGGCGGCCAGGUAGGUCUGGUGUGAAAACUCGAGGCUUAACCUCGAGAUGUCAUCGGAAACCAUUUGGCUAGAGUCCGGGAGGGGAGAGUGGAAUUCCUGGUGUAGCGGUGAAAUGCGCAGAUAUCAGGAAGAACACCAAUGGCGAAAGCAGCUCUCUGGGACGGUACUGACGCUGAGACGCGAAAGCGUGGGGAGCGAACAGG
rnacentral:rRNA from 1 species